AGCUCAAAUUUGAAAUCUGGCCUUCUGGUCCGAAUUGUAAUUUGUAGAGGAUGAUUUUGGUGCGGUACCUUCCGAGUUCCUUGGAACAGGACGCCUUAGAGGGUGAGAGCCCCGUACGGUUGGAUGCCUAGCCUUUGUAAAUCUCCUUCGACGAGUCGAGUAGUUUGGGAAUGCUGCUCUAAAUGGGAGGUAAAUUUCUUCUAAAGCUAAAUAUUGGCCAGAGACCGAUAGCGCACAAGUAGAGUGAUCGAAAGAUGAAAAGCACUUUGAAAAGAGGGUUAAAUAGCACGUGAAAUUGUUGAAAGGGAAGGAUUUAUGACCAGACUUUUUCUAGGCGGAUCAUCCGGUGUUCUCACCGGUGCACUUUGUCUAGUUUAGGCCAGCAUCGAUUUUCGGCAGCGGAUAAAAGCUUCAGGAAUGUGGCUCCUCCGGGAGUGUUAUAGCCUGUUGUAUAAUACGCCGCUGGGGAUCGAGGUACGCGCUUCUGCAAGGAUGCUGGCGUAAUGGUUAUCAAUCACCCGUCUUGAAACACGGACCAAGGAGUCGAACAUUUAUGCGAGUGUUUGGGUGUUAAACCCUCACGCGUAAUGAAAGUGAACGGAGGUGAGAGCCCUUACGGGUGCAUCAUCGACCGAUCCUGAUGUUUUCGGAUGGAUUUGAGUAAGAGCAUAACUGUUCGGACCCGAAAGAUGGUGAACUAUGCGUGGAUAGGGUGAAGCCAGAGGAAACUCUGGUGGAGGCUCGCAGCGGU
rnacentral:rRNA from 1 species